UACGUAGGGGGCAAGCGUUGUCCGGAAUUAUUGGGCGUAAAGGGCUCGUAGGCGGUUUGUCACGUCGGGAGUGAAAACUCGGGGCUUAACCCCGAGCCUGCUUCCGAUACGGGCUGACUAGAGGUAUGCAGGGGAGAACGGAAUUCCUGGUGUAGCGGUGAAAUGCGCAGAUAUCGGGAGGAACACCAAUGGCGAAGGCAGCUCGCUGGAACGGUACUGACGCUGAGGCGCGAAAGCGUGGGGAGCGAACAGG
rnacentral:rRNA from 1 species